UACGGGGGGGCAAGCGUUGUUCGGAAUUACUGGGCGUAAAGGGCGCGUAGGCGGCCUUCUAAGUCAGACGUGAAAUCCCCGGCUUAACCUGGGAACUGCGUCCGAGACUGGCGGGCUUGAAUUCGGGAGAGGGAUGCGGAAUUCCAGGUGUAGCGGUGAAAUGCGUAGAUAUCUGGAGGAACACCGGUGGCGAAGGCGGCGAUCCUGGACCGAUAUUGACGCUGAUGCGCGAAGCCAGGGAGCAAACGGG
rnacentral:rRNA from 1 species